AGGGAGAAAGAGGGAACGAAGGCGAGCCUAUCUAAGGCCCUCGCGCGGCCGGGAAGAGACCAGAGAGGCCCGCUCCAUGGCCGGCGGCCAUGGAGCUCGCCGGAGCUCGCAGCAACACGGAGGAGAGCUUCGUUUUGCAAAGGAACUAGAAGAGGACGAAGCGGAGGAGAAAGGAGAGCUCACCAACGCGAAGAACGAGAUCGAAGGGGCUCGGUUCGACGGCUUCGCGCGGAGGUCGCCGGCGGCGAUUUUUGCGGUGCUCCAGGGAGUUCGCACGAGAAGAGAGGGGGCGAGGGGAAAAGAAUGGGAGGGGGGAAGGUCGGUUUUGCGCAGCUCUGCCCACAUCAACCCGAGGCGCGGGGGAGAGAGGAGAUCGUGGGGGAGCGACUUCGGCUCGGCGGUUUGAAGCUGAGAGAGAGAGGGGGAACGGGCGGCAGUUUGGAGAAGGUGAAGCUGACAGGCGGGCCCGGCCUGUCAGCGGGUGAGAGAAAGAGGGGAAGGGGGAGGAGGCCGGCUGGGCUGACUGGGCCGAAAGUGAGGGGGGGGGGAAGAAGGGUUUUGUUUAUUUUUUUUUCAACUCAUUUUCAAAAGCAUUUUCAAUUUGAAUUUUGAACAAAUCUUUCUUUUGCAAAAUUCACACAUCGCAAAAUAAAAUGCCACAGCAUGAAUGCACACACAAAAAAUGUUUUCUAAACUUAUAUUAAAUUUUAUUUUCCCAAAAUUUAUUUAUUAUUUUUUUCCUAUAUUUUAUGAGCACAAAAUAGCAAAUUAAAUUAUUUUUCAUCUAUUUCUAAAAGAGCAAAAUUUAGGGUGUUACAAUUCUACCCUCCUUAAAAUGAAUCUCAUCCUCGAGAUUCGGAAGAGGCUCAGAUCCUCUGAGAGAAACAGGAAAAUAUCUUGAUAAUCCUUUCAUCUUCACAACUUGCAUACCAAACUUAAACACUUGUCUCAAGGUCACACCUCGUGAACAUAAUUUCCAUUGAAUAACUAUUAUUCAUAAUUGACCAAAGUCCAUCUUGACUACUAAUUUCCUUUAGCUUACAACUCCAAGAGACAUGGGAACUUAAUAUGCAUUUGCCUCCUCAGGUAGCAGCGGACCACCAUGAUACUCAAUUCUUUUUCCUGACGGUGCUGUUAAGAGCAUUUUGUAGUGGGUACCAUAGAUUACUCCUUUGUGUGCACACAACCAUCCAUUACCAAGGACCAAGGGAAUACUAAGUGACUCUAGCACAAUGAGGUUUACAGUGAAGUUUUCCUUGUUUAUGACCAGAUUGAUAUUUGAGCACACCUGAUCUGCUUGUAUUUCUCCCACUGGGGUUUGUACUAACAAAGGCUUUCUCGUUGGGCUCUUCACCCUCUUGAUUGUCUUCACAAGGUCGGUGGAAAUGAAAGAAUGCGAAGCACUUGGGUCAAGCAGAGCAAAAACUAGCACUGAGUCUACUUGAAUAUAGCCACCAACCACUUUGGUAGCUCCAUGAAUGUUAUGCCUAUCCACGUUGCUCAGUCUUCCAUUGAUAUAGUCUCGUUGCACCCUACUUCCAUGAGCAGGCUUCUUACGGCUUUUCCUUUUUCUCUUUCGCCGUUGUGGAUUCUGAUUUGAUUCACUUCCAACUUGCUCUUGAGUAUCAUUAUUUUGAUAGCACUCAGUUUCAUCAUACUCAUAACAUCCAUCAAGGAUAGGAUCAUCAUUCUCUUCCCACGUAUCAGUAAGAGGCAUCAUAUAGGGCUCCUGAUCCAUGGGAUACUACACUCCCUGUCAUCAAAUGACCAACAUCAAUGACGCGAGAAGGAGAGAUGAUUAUAUUCAUAGAAUAUCUCACGAGACAACUCUCACUUCAAGAUGAGUUGAAAAUGCAUCAACCCAUGAUAUCAAGGUACUACCCCCCUUAAGAAAGGUCGACUAGGAGGCACAAGGAAGGUAGCUUGCACUUUUUCUUGAUAAGUUAUCUUUCAUUGAGACCCUUUUGACAUCCCAAGGAACUUACGUGCAAGGAAGAAUAAAUAUCCUGAAAUUUUCUCGCGAUAAGAAAAUCACCAGCGCAGUAAAAUGGACAUAACUCUUGUUCUGUUAAUCCAAUGGGGUUAUAACUUAUACCGUUAGAAAGCUUGACAACUUAUAUAAAACUUUGCUGUAGAACACCUUUCCAAAAUCUAUAAUUGUACUUGUCCCAACAGUAAGCAACCGAAACUGGUCAGAUUCUUGACAGCACCGCUGUAUCAUCUUGUGAUUUUCAUAACUCCAAUACCAUAAUAGCUAUGGGGGUGAUUCUUGAGGUCAGAGAUAGAUCUUGAAGUCUAUUAUCAUCUAGAAUUUUGUCAUGAUUUUUAUUCAUCCAAGAUCAGAGACAUAAGCCGAUAAAGAUGAGAUACUCUAGAAAGGCACGAUAAGGUAACAAGAGAAAAACCAAAACCCAACUAUUUAUGUCAUUAAUCCUUAUGCCUUAGACAAAUAAACUAAAUGAAAUUGUGAAGAGACUCACAAGAUCAUUACACUCAUUACAAAGAUCCAAAUCAAACAUAAACAUAAAGACAAUUCAACCAAGCAGUAAAGGUUCACAAGGCACACAAACUCGACUUUCGCUGCUAGCGUUUUUAUUACACAAGGGCACAAACUCCUAUAUCUUCAACUCAGUGUGGCUGCUUUCAUGAUACUACUGUUGGUUCUUCUGUGGGCAAGACCUUACAUAGUGUCCUUCCUGUCGGCAGUGAUAACACUUUUUCUUAGCUGGAUCCUUCGUGAUAUGAUUUUCCAUUGAGGUGUUGCUCGGUGUGUCAUCAGUUCGUUGACUCUGAAGGUUUGUCUCUGGUUGGCUAGCUUUCUUCCUAACUUGGUUGAUCCUUCGAGGUUGAUACUCUUUAUAAGUGAUGGUCCAUCCAUCUAUGCAUACCUCAUGAGCAGUGGGGUUAGCUUGAGAAGUUUCUUCAUCUCCAAGGUUUGGAUUUUCAUGGCCAGGGUUCAAAGCUAAAUGUGACAACUUAGGAUUUGAAUGUUGUUCACUUCCCAAUGUUGGCUCUAGAGAUUUUGCCUUCCUCUUCUUAUCCUCAUUAGUCACACAAUUUGGUUUUAUCUUCAUUUCCUUUUUAGAUGACCUAUUUCGACGACAAGGAAGACCAUAAUGCCUACAACAAUGGCAUUGAUCCUGAUAUCCCGAUGCAUUACUAUCAACACCUCCAUGGGUUCUCAUAUUUUUCCAAGCUUCUGCUACUUGUCUCUUCACUGGUCCUGAGAUGCACUGCUGAGAGUUCCCAUUAUGAGUCAUUCCUUCCACUACUUGCUUUUGCAUGGCUAGAGGCUUCUCCUUGUCGAAUGCUUUUACGAGUGGCAUCUCUAAGUCCUUUUGUUCAUUCAUGCCAAAGGUCUCUUCAUUAUGAGCCAUCUAAAUGGACAAGGAGGUUGGAUUCAGAAUAGAGACAAAGUUUUAUAAUAGAAUAGGGCAGAGGUAAGCAUAAAUUUUAGCAAUUAUCAAGGUUAAGGUGGAAGCAAGAAGUAAGCAGAGAUAGAAGCAUUCUAAAAGGUCUGGUUCUAACUAGGCUUGCGUCCUACAGUCAGCAUUGCUUUGAUACCACUUUGUAACACCCGAUUUUAAGAACAAAACCAGAUAUGCACCAUAUGUCAGUUUUAGAAGACAAACCUCCCAUAUAGCUACAAAUAAGGGGUAAUAUCAAAGGACAACGCAAAAAUUAUAUAGCGUACAUAAUAAAUCAGAAACAACCUUAGGCAGCAAACCACGGAAUAUAACUCCAAACUUUGGGUGUUAACUUCACUCUACAGGAUCCAACUGACUGGUUGAUCACAAGCCCAAUACUUCUCCUGAGGUGUGGGGGAGAUAGCAAGAGUGAGUUCAAGACGAACUCCGCAAGUAUAACAACUAGAUUGUAUAGAUCCCACAAUCUCAUGAUCAAUGUGACAUAAAUAAUAUAGAGCAUUAAACAAUAAUCAAUGAGUUUCUUAACACAAGAUUCAUCACCCUUAAUGUAAGAGUUCCCAAGGCCGCUCUUGACCGUGAGCACGGCUAGUAUACCAGUUUUUAACACUCUGCAGAGGUUGUACAUCUUUACCCAUGAGUCAUGAUUUGCCCUUUCGCCUGAGGUGAUCAGCCUCUUAACCCACUACCAAGGAAGGCCGGCAGGGAUCACUAUGAAGUCUUUCAAAGUUUCGUCUAACAAGUUAGGGCUGCUUGGUUUCGGUAGUCAGUCCAUGUGAUUCUACCCCGCAGGGGAUCCACGGUCUGCUAUCCCCCAUUUGCGCCACACGGGUAACCUCUAACAAGCUAGAAAAGUUACUGAUACUUGACUAAAGCCAGAGCCAUUAUAGCCCUCAUGGUUGCACUUUCAUCCCGGUUAUCACUUACGAAUAAAUCCUCAAGUUGUUAACAAGUCAUUAUUAUCAUUUGUUGCUUUAUAUCAAUCUAGUCACAAGAUCAUGGUCAUAGAAUUAAAACCCAAAUGCUAUACUUGCCUUGAUCCAAUUGCUCCUGCUGGUCCUGCUGAUCUUACUUGCUUCCAAGACUCUGAUCUUGAUCACCGAAGUAAUGCCCAGUGACUAGGCUCGGUCACCAAACAUCAACACACAAGCAAUCAGGGACAGACAUACACGAAGCAAACAAGAUUACAAUUAGAACAGUACACCAGCAGUAAAUAAAUUUAAAUAAAAGUUUUCCAAAAUCAUCUACACGCUUCUACGAUCACGUCAACGCAAAAUUCACGCAAAACGGAGUUACGACGCGAAAUCUACGCAUUAACCGGGACUGCAGAGGCUAUCUACGGACUUGUAUUUAACUAGGAAAUCUAUCAGUGGUGAAUCUAAACAACAAAGGUACCAACGCGAAGCUUAUAAAAUUAUAAAACUAACGCAACUUGAACGGAUCGAAUCGGAGCUAAAACGGAGAAGAUAUGAAUUUUCUAAGAUUUUCCUAUAGUAAGUAAUUAAUUAAAUAGGGUCACAAAAUUAAAAUGUUUCAAAUUAUUAAACCAAGUUUACUAACACGUAGAUCUCAUGAUUACGAACCUAACGCAAUUUGAACGGGUCAAAUCGGAGCUAAAAUGAAUAUUUUAUGGCCUAAACAAACUCAGUGGCAAUUCUGUAAUUUCGUGAAAGCGUAAUUUGACCUAACCGACGGGAAAUACGCUUUCUAAACGGCAAAGCGUAAUCUACGAAAUGCGCUAAGGACCGCGGGUUAAAUCGCGAAAAGAAAAGGGGCUCUUUAACAAAAUUUGCCCCCAAGGGGUAUGGAGCUUUCUGGGCCAUCGGAUUAGAAACCAACGGUCGAGAUUAGAUGGGAGAGAGAGAGAGGGUGGCGCCGGCGGCCGGAACAGGAGCUCCCGCGGUGGCGCUCCAUGGCUGACGGCAAGAAGGUCGCCGGAGUUGGUCGCGUUUGCGCUACAGGGCUCGGUUUUCAAAUCCAAAAGCUCAGGGAGAAAGAGGGAACGAAGGCGAGCCUAUCUAAGGCCCUCGCGCGGCCGGGAAGAGACCAGAGAGGCCCGCUCCAUGGCCGGCGGCCAUGGAGCUCGCCGGAGCUCGCAGCAACACGGAGGAGAGCUUCGUUUUGCAAAGGAACUAGAAGAGGACGAAGCGGAGGAGAAAGGAGAGCUCACCAACGCGAAGAACGGGAUCGAAGGGGCUCGGUUCGACGGCUUCGCGCGGAGGUCGCCGGCGGCGAUUUUUGCGGUGCUCCAGGGAGUUCGCACGAGAAGAGAGGGGGCGAGGGGAAAAGAAUGGGAGGGGGGAAGGUCGGUUUUGCGCAGCUCUGCCCACAUCAACCCGAGGCGCGGGGGAGAGAGGAGAUCGUGGGGGAGCGACUUCGGCUCGGCGGUUUGAAGCUGAGAGAGAGAGGGGGAACGGGCGGCAGUUUGGAGAAGGUGAAGCUGACAGGCGGGCCCGGCCUGUCAGCGGGUGAGAGAAAGAGGGGAAGGGGGAGGAGGCCGGCUGGGCUGACUGGGCCGAAAGUGAGGGGGGGAAGAAGGGUUUUGUUUAUUUUUUUUUCAACUCAUUUUCAAAAGCAUUUUCAAUUUGAAUUUUGAACAAAUCUUUCUUUUGCAAAAUUCACACAUCGCAAAAUAAAAUGCCACAGCAUGAAUGCACACACAAAAAAAUGUUUUCUAAACUUAUAUUAAAUUUUAUUUUCCCAAAAUUUAUUUAUUAUUUUUUUCCUAUAUUUUAUGAGCACAAAAUAGCAAAUUAAAUUAUUUUUCAUCUAUUUCCAAAAGAGCAAAAUUUAGGGUGUUACAUAAACCGUGUAAUUA
rnacentral:lncRNA from 1 species